UCACUUCUCCAAAUAUUUUCUUAAUUAAGAAAUUAAUAUACUAUUGUGUAGUUAAUCUCUUGAUAAUUAGUUUAUUUACAUAAGAGUCUAGGGUUUUUGGGUAUUAACCCUAAGUUGGGGCUUCCUUACUCCAAGCCUGAAAGGAAGUGAUGAUGACCUUAACUGCUAGUUCAUGGAAACCUAUGACUUCGCGUUAGAUAAUUAAGACGCGAAGUUUCAGAGGUCUGCAUGAACUUGGAGAUAAAGGUUAUCUUGAUCUUUUUUGCAUUGGAGUGAAGGGAGCUCCACAUAGGGUAUUCUUAUCCGAUAUAAAAUUGUGUGUCAUUAUAUAUUUGUCAUGAAACAAUUUUUUUCGAAAAAUUUAAAUUGAUAGAAGAAGACACGUAAAUAAUUAUAUAUCUAAUAUGUCUCUUCACGCAUAAUCUCUUUUUGAGUUUACGUAAAUUUUUUGUUAUAGCCUUUUUUUUAUUUAUCUUAUAUUUUUUUAUUAUAAUAAUGGUCGAAUUUUAUAUCUUUUAGUCAUAGAAAUUUUGAUACUGAAUUUUUUUUCUAAAAACUUAAAUUAAUAGGAAGAGUCGCAUAAAUAGUUAUAUUUUUAACAAUAUUAUACAUUCUCGCUAUAUAUUAUUAUUAUUAUUAUUAUUAUUAUUUGACAAAAUGAUGAAUUGAAGUGAAUGGAAAUUGAUGAUUAUAUUAUGUGAUGAUCUUAUUAGAUGAAUCGAAUUUUAGGGUUGUUAAUACUUUACUACAGGGUUACUCUUAUAUAUUUAUCAUCACACUACUCAAGAUAUAUAUAAGUGACAAGACCAUGUUGAGGUUACGGCAAAGGAAAUUGUGUUACGUGAUUCGUCAACCUACAACUGAAGAUCCAAUUGAACCAAGAAUUAUUUAUCUUGAAGGCAGAUCAGAUUCAAUUAUAAAAUUAUUUAUUCUAAAAAAUUAAGCUAAUAAUAAUCUGAGACGAUGGAAGAGUCAAGUGGAGAAUUAUGUCUCUAAUAAAUCUAACUGAGUUAAUAAGUUAGAUGAAGUGUGACUAUAUAUAUUGAAGUGAAGAACUCCUACAAUAAUCUAUGCACAAGUUCUUUUACAAUGUGAUCCACUAUGUAUACUUAUCUUCUUCAUGAAGAAGUAAAAUAUUAAACUCAAGUGUAUUAUUAUAUGAA